rnacentral:tRNA from 1 species
GCAGGUAUAGUUAAGGGGUAUAACGGUGGUUUUGUAAUCCACAAUCGGGAGUUCGAUUCUCUCUACCUGCAUCA